AACGAUUCUUAGUAUCUUCCCCCACAAGCAUAUUUUUUCUUGCUUACAUGUCUUCCCUAUUUUGGUGCCUGGCAGCAUCAACUUCCCAGUCAGCCGAGCCGGAAACCUGGGAAUUGUCUGGCUGCAUCGUUUCUCUGCAUCUCCGCAGCCGUACAGCUUGUCCGUCAGUAUCUCUCGCCCAUCCUGUCUCGCCCAUUUCUGUGACCCCUCCGCUGGCCUAGGCUGUCCUUCUUCCUGGACUUUGGCAUCAGCCUUACGGCAGAUCUCUUUGCUCCCAAAGUCUUUCUCCUCCAACCCAUUCUUCAUCCCUAUGCAUGAGUUGUCUCUCUUAAAUGCUAACUGGAUGACACCACCUCAGAACCUUUCAGUGGCCCCUUCUCAUCCCCUAGGUCAAAGUCCAAAUUCUUUAUCACCGCAGAGAGUUUUUUGUUUGCCUUCUACCCCCUCCCACCUCCCAGCACCCCUCUCAUCCCAACUCCUCUCCUCCCCUCUCCCACAUACUUUACACUGGAGUGAUGAAGAACUCUAGUUACGGGAGCACAAAUGCUGCUUAAUGCCUCUGUGCCUUUGCAUAUGCUGUUCCUUCUUCCUGAAUGCCCUCCCCUCCUUGUCCACCUAACAAACUCCUAUUCAUCUCUGAAAACCUCAUCAUAAGCUUCACCUUUUCUGUGGAGUCUUUCCAGGGCAUCACGCAUGCCACCUUCCACCGCCACCGGGUUCAUCAUUUCCCCCAAAGCUGCCUCUGCAUCUUGUACGUACUUUCAUGAUUGGCUAGCCCCCCCCAUCGGGUACUUACUAUUUGUUCAUACGUCUGACUCCCUUACUAUGGUGGGCUUUUUUCCUACAUUUUCACACUUUUCUACCACAAAUAAGUAUUCCUUCCAUAAUCAGAAAAAAAAUAUUAAGAAAAAAACAUAAAAGUAGUCAGAAGUAACAUCCAUUGAGCACGUACUGUCAGGCAUUGUUUUAAGCACUUUAUACGUGAACUCAUUUAAUCCUCAUGACUGUCCCAUGAGGAAGUACCAUGAUUGCCCCCAUUUUUAUUUCCCUUCUUCAGGGAAGAAGGAAGGUGGGAAAGGAGGGAGGGGAGUUCACCAGGCGCCCAGUAAAUGGUGCAGGGAGAUUGAGAAGCAUUUGGAGCCCAAAGCCCCAGCUUCAUCUCCCUGAUCACACUCUCACCAGACCACCAGAGGGAGUCCCAGUGCCCUCCUCCGACACCCCUCUCCU
rnacentral:lncRNA from 1 species